UUCGGUGGCCAUAGCGAGGGGGAAAUACCCGUUCCCAUUCCGAACACGGAAGUUAAGUCCCUCAGCGCCGAUGGUACUGCUCGGGUAACUGUGUGGGAGAGUAGGACGCUGCCGAUU
rfam:Actinobacteria bacterium CG2_30_50_142 cg2_3.0_scaffold_1345_c, whole genome shotgun sequence.